rnacentral:rRNA from 1 species
GACGAACGCUGGCGGCGUGCUUAACACAUGCAAGUCGAACGGAAAGGCCCUGCUUUUGUGGGGUUCUCGAGUGGCGAACGGGUGAGUAACACGUGAGUAACCUGCCCUUGACUUUGGGAUAACUUCAGGAAACUGGGGCUAAUACCGGAUAGGAGCUCCUGCUGCAUGGUGUGGGUUGGAAAGUUUCGGCGGUUGGGGAUGGACUCGCGGCUUAUCAGCUUGUUGGUGGGGUAGUGGCUUACCAAGGCUUUGACGGGUAGCCGGCCUGAGAGGGUGACCGGCCACAUUGGGACUGAGAUACGGACCAGACUCCUACGGGAGGCAGCAGUGGGGAAUAUUGCACAAUGGGCGGAAGCCAGAUGCAGAAACGCCGCGUGCGGGAUAACGGCCUUCGGGUUGUAACCCGAUUUCGCCUGUGACGAAGCGUGAGUGACGGUAAUGGGUAAAGAAGCACCGGCUAACUACGUG